rnacentral:rRNA from 1 species
GAUGAACGCUGGCGGCGUGCCUAAUACAUGCAAGUAGAACGCUGAAGGAGGAGCUUGCUCUUCUGGAUGAGUUGCGAACGGGUGAGUAACGCGUAGGUAACCUGCCUGGUAGCGGGGGAUAACUAUUGGAAACGAUAGCUAAUACCGCAUGACAACAGUUAUUGCAUGAUAACUGUUUAAAAGGGGCAACUGCUCCCCUACCAGAUGGACCUGCGUUGUAUUAGCUAGUUGGUGAGGUAACGGCUCACCAAGGCGACGAUACAUAGCCGACCUGAGAGGGUGAUCGGCCACACUGGGACUGAGACACGGCCCAGACUCCUACGGGAGGCAGCAGUAGGGAAUCUUCGGCAAUGGACGGAAGUCUGACCGAGCAACGCCGCGUGAGUGAAGAAGGUUUUCGGAUCGUAAAGCUCUGUUGUAAGAGAAGAACGAGUGUGAGAGUGGAAAGUUCACACUGUGACGGUAUCUGACCAGAAAGGGACGGCUAACUACGUG